CAAAGACCUCAGACUGUACUUAACUGCAGGGUGGAUGGACAGGACCUGGGUACAGCUAUGCAUGCUCAGCAUCAGCCUCUACCUACUGUGAAAGAUCUCACUGUGACAUCCCCACAGGGAAGAUAUGAAAAAGAUAGUAGUUCUUAAAAUGCCUGAUAUUGCAAUGCAGUAUGUGAUUACAGGAGAGACAAGGCGGGUUAGCCUAGGCUAUUGUGAGAAGAGUGUUGACAUGUCACCCCUGCCUUGGACCCUUCAGGGAAUCAGACGGAGAGCUGGUCCAGAUGCUAUGCCUUUGGCUCUUCACAAACUUGGACUACAAAAAAUGAGUGGAUCCUGAAGCACUCUCAGAACAGGGACUAGGAAGUGGAUCGACACUAAAACUCGCUGUGAGCAACAAAGUUGGAAAGUUGUCUGAAGCAGGAAUUAUUCUAUAAACUGAGGCACUACUUCCCUUCACAUCCCACCAAGGAAAGAAGCGUAUCCAUGCCUUUCUCUGGGGUUUGUAGACACGAAAUGGUGGCUCUGCGAGGGACUGCUGCUCUCAUUUCCUGAACAGACCAAGAAAGCAGACGAACGCCGUGAUUGUUAGGACGUUGUAUAUAUUUAUUCGUUGGCCUAUGAUUCUAACUGCCGUAUGUUUUACUACUAUAAAUACAGAAUCCUUCGCCUACCCUGAAAAUUACACAUAUGCACCCAUUUAAGUUACAGUUACAGUCAAGUGUAGCACUAAGGAUAUUCUUCUGCUUUUCUUUUAUUUCAUAAGUCUUUAUUGUGCUCUCUAACUGUCAAACACUAUUUGAAAAACUGUUGCUACAGGCAUGAACGUUUCCUUCGGUCUCCAUUAGUAAGUAAUCUGCUUCCUAUUUCACAUUUUUCACUUAAAAGGUGAUGGUGUUUCACCCCGUGGUGAACUUCUACGUGCUUCCCCUGGUUAACAAGAUGAGAACUAAGUAAACCAGCCAGAUGAAUCUAAAAUAUUUUAUUUUGUACCUAUUUGUGUUUACGGUUUGCUGAUUUUUUGGCAGAAGAAGGAGCUGUUUCUGCUAUCAUAAUUUGCAAUAUUGAUUCAGAAUUUAACACCUCUGUUCAUCUCCAGGUUCCAUACGAUCAUUUUCCCCAUUAGCCUAUACAGAAAGAACUUAAACAUGAACUUUCACAACUUUCACUGGGUUGUAACAAAUGGUAAGAAAGAUUUUAAUUUAGAAUGUACAAUCAUGUUCACUUUAACCUAUUAUCUCUUCUAGGUCCUUAUUUAUGAGAGCCUCUCUUUUGAGCCUGAAUUUCUCAAGAUUUUUUUUCUAGCGUGACUUACUUUUCUGUUCACUAUGUAGAAGAACUCAUAAGCAACUUUUUAGGACAGGGUAAUAGAAAAAUGCACAUUGUUCUUCAUUAGUGAAUGGCUGCACCUUGCUAAGGGCAAAAUAAAGACCUUUUCUGCAUGGCAGGUUAAAAGUGCAAGGAGGAGUAGGCCACGCUGUUCCUUUUUGAAGCUCGGGAGUUAUUAUCACUUCCUCUACACAGGGAGGAGUGAGCUCCGGGGAGCGACUAGGAAUUCGUUUUGUGCAGACAAGUGGUGAGAGAUGGAUGAAGAUGAAGAAUGAGCAGAAGCAUAAUUCACCAGCGUACCUGAUGGCAUAAUGACAUUGAUGUUUCUCAGCUCAGAUACCACCCCAGGUGCAGAUAUGUGUCUCUCUAUUUCUGUCCAGUGCAAAGGAGAGACUGGGGGGACAUUAUGACUUUUUAAGUCACUAUCUCUCUGGCAGGUUGCUUUGGAGGCAAUGCAAUUACAUGCUCUUCCUCCUAUGGGCUUGACAGCAAACUGACACUCCCACCCUAAGCUAGAAAAGUGAUCAGUUAAGGAUGACGCUGUUGCAUAAGCAGUUAAGCCAGUUUUGUGUUUUGUCAGCCCUAUGGUGCUGAUCUGCUUCACCUCUGCUGAAGUGGAGACCAUGGCUAAUGCUACCCCUUUCAAAUUAUCACUGUGCAGAUGACAGAUACCUACGACUUCCAGUAAGGUGUAAACUUUCUCCUUCAUGCAGAAGUAUUUUGUUCUUUCCAAGUGUGGCAGAUAAAAAUGUAGUCUGAAUAACAAACGCAAAGCUGUUGGCAAUUUUAGGCUGAAUUUCAGAUUGUCUUAGAAGAUUUUAAGUGUUCCUCAUGGGUCUGACCUUGUAUUCCUUACCCCUGUAAAUCUUUUUCUCUUAAUGCAUCCAUGUGCAACUAUGCCUAAGGACAAUUCACAUGAACAAGAGGUGUAGGACCGAGACUGAAUUUUUUGUGACGCAAUGCAAUGUUGCCAGUAGGCCACAUCCGCAUAUAUAAGAAAUGGAAAAUCCUAAUGUAUACUGAGCACUGAAAUUUCAAAUCAACAAAUCCAGAUAAGUUCAGUUCUCAGUCACCUGUACAAUAUGCACUCCUGCUGAUGUUAUUCAGAACAUACAUUUUAUUGCCUUGCAGACACCUGAAAUGAAUUCAGUUUUCAGCAACUUCAGGCGUUAGUAUGGUAUAAUGGCUUAGUAUUAUAACACUAAGCUGAAAUAUUCUGAUAUUGACUAUCACCAUAUUGACUGACAAAACUGAACUUUAUCUUUUUUGUUUUGUUUAAAAAUUAAAGCUGUCUUCUUGUUUUCCUCUCUGCAUACACUACCUGUGUGCUGAAGAAUAUAUACUUUGAAAAUUGUCUGAGCAUUUCAACACAAAAAAGAUUGCUGUUGGCUCCUAUAUGGCAUGAUUAAAUGUAGGACUAAAAAGCCAGAACUGUAAGCCACACGGAAGGGGUUUCAUACCACUUCUUUAUCUAUAAUACAAGGUAUUUCUUCUGUCUUUGGUGUCUGGACAUGAUAAGAAAGUGGUCUGGAAAUACAAUUUUAACAUGGUUUAAAUGUAUUUCAACAAACCACAGAAUUGUUUGAAUAUGUGAUUUAUUUUGCUGCAAAUCACUAAUAUUAAUAAAUAGAUACCUUCAAAUGUGUCAGGAAUACAGAGGCAUGGGCACCUUUUGGAAAUAAGGCACAAGUGCUAUUCUUGCAUUGUAACUCCUGGAAUAUCAGUCGUGAGUGAUACAAGAUAUGAUUGUCAAAGAGUAAAUACUGAGUCAUGUAGGUGGGUUUUUAUUUGUAGAAAAAUUAAAAGCUAAGAGUAAAAAUACUCAUAUGUAUAUCAAAAGCCAUUGAUAAAUGUGGAAGUUUCACUUGU